UAUUAUUGCUGUUAAAUUGACUAAAGAAAGCAGUUCCAUUUAUCAACAUGCAGUGCUAUCCUUCCUUCUUUACUAGAUAACCUAAACGGGAAGAAUACAAUAUUGGUACAUUAUACUGUUAGGUACUGGGGUUUUUGGUUUCUUUUUAGUUGUGGGUUGGGUUCCUUUUCUUUGUGUCAACCGCUAGAGGGUGCCAGAAGCUGCCGUCCCGGAGGGGUGUGUCGGAUUCCCGACACACCGGUUGCUGAUCACUCAUCUGCUCGGCUGUUCAAGAGGAGCUGACCGACACUCAUUCAACGCCUGAGUGUUAACCUGCAAUGGUGCUGCACUGGAAACGUGAAGUUCCCUUCCGAGAACUUAUUCCGCUUGUUCUUACCUGUCCGCCCUCCGCCGCCGUCUACUACCUCUGGACCCUUGGAACCUCAAAAUACCCACUCGAAGAUCCUCCCCGAUCCUACGGCCCGGAACUCCCCCCCCAGCUCGUAAUCCACCUCGCCACAAUGUGUCAGCAGACCGCGAGCCGCUCCC